GACGAACGCUGGCGGCGUGCUUAACACAUGCAAGUCGAACGAAGUGGCGAACGGGUGAGUAAUACGUGAGUAACCUGCCCUCAUUUUUGGGAUAAGCCUUGGAAACGGGGUCUAAUAGCGAAUACAGGGGGAUGGGCUCGCGGCCGAUCAGCUUGUUGGUGGGGUGAUGGCGUACCAAGGCGGUGACGGGUAGCCGGCCUGAGAGGGUGACCGUGCACAUGGGGACUGAUAUACGGCCCAGACUCCGACAGGAGGCGGGAGUGUGGGAUAUUGCACAAGGGGCGAAAGCAGCAUGGAGGGGCGCCGCGGGGGGGAUGAAGGCUUGCGGGUUGUAAACCUCUUGCGCGAUCGAACGGGUAUGUGGAGAAGAAGCGCCGGCUAACUACGUGCCAGCAGCCGCGGUAAUUC
rnacentral:rRNA from 1 species